rnacentral:rRNA from 1 species
AAUAUUGCACUAUGGGGGAAGCUCUGAUGCAGCAACGCCGCGUGAGCGAUGAAGGCCUUCGGGUCGUAAAGCUCUGUCCUAAGGGAAGAUAAUGACGGUACCUUAGGAGGAAUCCCCGGCUAACUACGUGCCAGCAGCCGCGGUAAUACGUAGGGGGCAAGCGUUAUCCGGAAUCAUUGGGCGUAAAGGGUGCGUAGGCUGCCCUAUAGGUCAGAGGUCAAAGGCUACGGCUCAACCGUAGUAAGCCUUUGAAGCUGUAGGGCUUGAGUGCAGGAGAGGAGAGUGGAAUUCCUAGUGUAGCGGUGAAAUGCGUAGAUAUUAGGAGGAACACCAGUGGCGAAGGCGACUCUCUGGACUGCAACUGACGCCGAGGCACGAAAGCGUGGGUAGCGAACA